rnacentral:rRNA from 1 species
GACGAACGCUGGCGGCGCGCUUAACACAUGCAAGUCGAACGGAAAGGCCUGCUUUCCCUUGUGGAUUGCGGGUACUCGAGUGGCGAACGGGUGAGUAACACGUGAGUGAUCUGCCCCCAACUUGGGUAUAAGCCUGGGAAACUGGGUCUAAUUCCCGAUAGGACUGCAGGGUGGUGCCUGUGGUGGAAAACGAUUUUCUAGUGGUUGGGGAUGAGCUCGCGGCCUAUCAGCUUGUUGGUGGGGGAAUGGCCUACCAAGGCGGCGACGGGUAGCCGGCCUGAGAGGGUGGACGGCCACAUUGGGACUGGGAUACGGCCCAGACUCCUACGGGCGGCAGCAGUGGGGAAUAUUGCACGAUGGGCGGAAGCCUGAUGCAGCGACGCCGCGUGGGGGAUGACGGCCUUCGGGUUGUAAACUCCUUUCGACCGCGAGGAAGCCACCUGGUUGGAAGGGUGGUGACGGUAGUGGUAGAAGAAGCACCGGCUAACUACGUG